GACGAACGCUGGCGGCGUGCUUAACACAUGCAAGUCGAACGGAAAGGCCCGGCUUUUGUGGGGUGCUCGAGUGGCGAACGGGUGAGUAACACGUGAGUAACCUGCCCUUGACUUUGGGAUAACUUCAGGAAACUGGGGCUAAUACCGGAUAGGAGCUCCUGCUGCAUGGUGGGGGUUGGAAAGUUUCGGCGGUUGGGGAUGGACUCGCGGCUUAUCAGCUUGUUGGUGGGGUAGUGGCUUACCAAGGCUUUGACGGGUAGCCGGCCUGAGAGGGUGACCGGCCACCUUGGGACUGAGAUACGGCCCAGACCCCUACGGGAGGCAGCAGUGGGGAAUAUUGCACAAUGGGCGGAAGCCUGAUGCAGCAACGCCGCGUGCGGGAUGACGGCCUUCGGGUUGUAAACCGCUUUCGCCUGUGACGAAGCGUGAGUGACGGUAAUGGGUAAAGAAGCACCGGCUAACUACGUG
rnacentral:rRNA from 1 species